AUGAACGCUGGCGGCGUGCCUAAUACAUGCAAGUCGAGCGAACGGACGAGAAGCUUGCUUCUCUGAUGUUAGCGGCGGACGGGUGAGUAACACGUGGAUAACCUACCUAUAAGACUGGGAUAACUUCGGGAAACCGGAGCUAAUACCGGAUGAUAUUUUGAACCGCAUGGUUCAAAAGUGUAAGACGGUCUUGCUGUCACUUAUAGAUGGAUCCGCGCUGCAUUAGCUAGUUGGUAAGGUAACGGCUUACCAAGGCAACGAUGCAUAGCCGACCUGAGAGGGUGAUCGGCCACACUGGAACUGAGACACGGUCCAGACUCCUACGGGAGGCAGCAGUAGGGAAUCUUCCGCAAUGGGCGAAAGCCUGACGGAGCAACGCCGCGUGAGUGAUGAAGGUCUUCGGAUCGUAAAACUCUGUUAUUAGGGAAGAACAUAUGUGUAAGUAACUGUGCACAUCUUGACGGUACCUAAUCAGAAAGCCACGGCUAACUACGUG
rnacentral:rRNA from 1 species